rnacentral:rRNA from 1 species
UACGUAGGGCGCGAGCGUUGUCCGGAAUUAUUGGGCGUAAAGAGCUCGUAGGCGGCUUGUCACGUCGGGUGUGAAAGACCGGGGCUUAACUCCGGUUCUGCAUUCGAUACGGGCUAGCUAGAGUGUGGUAGGGGAGAUCGGAAUUCCUGGUGUAGCGGUGAAAUGCGCAGAUAUCAGGAGGAACACCGGUGGCGAAGGCGGGUCUCUGGGCCGAUACUGACGCUGAGGAGCGAAAGCAUGGGUAGCGAACAGG